GACAGAGGGUGCAAACGUUGUUCGGAUUUACUGGGCGUAAAGGGUGCGUAGGUGGCGGGGUAAGUCAGGUGUGAAAUUUCGGAGCUUAACUCCGAAACUGCAUUUGAUACUGCCUUGCUUGAGGACUGGAGAGGAGACUGGAAUUCACGGUGUAGCGGUGGAAUGCGCAGAUAUCAGGAGGAACACCAAUGGCGAAGGCAGCUCUCUGGGACGGUACUGACGCUGAGACGCGAAAGCGUGGGGAGCGAACAGG
rnacentral:rRNA from 1 species